rnacentral:sRNA from 1 species
UCCCUCACUGCUGAGGAUCGUGACCACA